UCCGUAGUGGUGUAGUGGUAACAUACCUCCUUGCCAAGGAGGCGUUGCGAGUUCGAUUCUCGUCUACGGGAC
rnacentral:tRNA from 5 species